UACGUAGGGGGCUAGCGUUGUCCGGAAUCAUUGGGCGUAAAGAGCGUGUAGGCGGCCCGGUAAGUCCGCUGUGAAAGUCGGGGGCUCAACCCUCGAAUGCCGGUGGAUACUGUCGGGCUAGAGUCCGGAAGGGGCGAGUGGAAUUCCUGGUGUAGCGGUGAAAUGCGCAGAUAUCAGGAGGAACACCAAUGGCGAAGGCAGCUCGCUGGGACGGUACUGACGCUGAGGCGCGAAAGCGUGGGGAGCAAACAGG
rnacentral:rRNA from 1 species